UCAGUGGCUGCUGCGUUAAAGUUUAACAGCAUUAGUCCACCGCCCGACAAGUUCGAAGAGG
rnacentral:sRNA from 1 species